rnacentral:rRNA from 1 species
UACGUAGGGGGCAAGCGUUGUUCGGAAUCACUGGGCUUAAAGCGUGUGUAGGCGGAUCGUUAAGUACCUUGUGAAAUCCCACGGCUUAACCGUGGAACUGCUGGGUAUACUGGCGAUCUUGAGCCACCUAGGGGCAACCGGAACAAAUGGUGGAGCGGUGAAAUGCGUAGAUAUCAUUUGGAACGCCAAUGGUGAAAACAGGUUGCUGGGGGUGUGCUGACGCUGAGACACGAAAGCCAGGGGAGCGAACGGG